rnacentral:rRNA from 1 species
GACGGAGGGGGCUAGCGUUGUUCGGAAUGACUGGGCGUAAAGGGCGCGUAGGUUGUUUUUUAAGUUAGAUGUGAAAUCCCUGGGCUUAACCCAGGAACUGCAUUUAAAACUGAAAAACUGGAGUGUGGUAGAGGAAUUUGGAAUUCCGAGUGUAGAGGUGAAAUUCGUAGAUAUUCGGAGGAACAUCUGAGGCGAAGGCGAGAUUCUGGGCCACAACUGACACUGAGGCGCGACAGCGUGGGGAGCAAACAGG